rnacentral:rRNA from 1 species
CCCAGACUCCUACGGGAGGCAGCAGUGGGGGAUAUUGCACAAUGGGGGAAACCCUGAUGCAGCGACGCCGCGUGGGCGAAGAAGUAUUUCGGUAUGUAAAGCCCUAUCAGCAGGGAAGAAGAAAUGACGGUACCUGACUAAGAAGCCCCGGCUAACUACGUGCCAGCAGCCGCGGUAAUACGUAGGGGGCAAGCGUUAUCCGGAUUUACUGGGUGUAAAGGGAGCGUAGACGGCAGAGCAAGUCUGAAGUGAAAGCCCGGGGCCCAACUGCGAGACUGCUUUGGAAGCUGCCCGGCUAGAGUGCUGGAGAGGUAAGCGGAAUUCCUAGUGUAGCAGUGAAAUGCGUAGAUAUUAGGAGGAACACCAGUGGCGAAGGCGGCUUACUGGACAGUAACUGACGUUGAGGCUCGAAAGCGUGGGGAGCAAACAGGAUUAGAUACCCUUGUA